rnacentral:rRNA from 1 species
UACGUAGGGUGCGAGCGUUGUCCGGAAUUAUUGGGCGUAAAGAGCUCGUAGGCGGUUUGUCGCGUCGACUGUGAAAACCUACAGCUUAACUGUGGGCUUGCAGUCGAUACGGGCAGACUUGAGUUCGGUAGGGGAGACUGGAAUUCCUGGUGUAGCGGUGAAAUGCGCAGAUAUCAGGAGGAACACCGGUGGCGAAGGCGGGUCUCUGGGCCGAUACUGACGCUGAGACGCGAAAGCGUGGGGAGCAAACAGG